UUCUGAGCUCCUUUUCCGGUUUCCAUUCCCCACCAGUGCAGACACCUUCAGGGAUACAACCCCUUCGACCAGGGCUGUGCCAGCAACUGGUAUUUAACAAUUUGUGCACCACUGGGACCCAAGUACAUGGCUGAAGCUGUCCAGCUGCAGAGAGUGGUGGGGCCUGACUGGACAUCCAUGCCGAACCUGCACCCUCCAAUGUCCCCCUCUGCUCUCAACCCCCCAGCCCCAACCUCUGGGUCCCUACAAAGCAGGGAAGGGUCCCCCGGGGCGUGGUGAGGCUGCAGCUCUCCAGGAGUUCCACACGGGCCCAGUGCUGCCCCUGCUGCCGCAGGAGCCCCCAGGCGAGGUUCGGCCUUCCUCUCGCCCCUGUGCACCCGGAGAUGCCCACAGCACCAGCACCUGAGCUCACCUCCGAACCCACCUCCUGAACCCACCUCCAGACUCACCUCCUGAUUCCACCUCCCGAAUCCACCUUCUGAUUCUGCCUCCUGAACCCGCCUCCUGAACCUGCCUCCUUACCUCCCACUUCCUGAGCCCUGAGUGGAAGUCUUUCUGUGCCCUGCCCUUUGCCCACUCCCCUGGUGGGACUGCCAAGACCCUCAAUGCCCAUUAAAUACUCUUGCCUGCCUCUUA
rnacentral:sRNA from 1 species